rnacentral:rRNA from 1 species
UCGAACGGUGAAGCCAAGCUUGCUUGGUGGAUCAGUGGCGAACGGGUGAGUAACACGUGAGCAACCUGCCCUGGACUCUGGGAUAAGCGCUGGAAACGGCGUCUAAUACUGGAUAUGAGCUCUUACCGCAUGGUGGGGGUUGGAAAGAUUUUUCGGUCUGGGAUGGGCUCGCGGCCUAUCAGCUUGUUGGUGAGGUAAUGGCUCACCAAGGCGUCGACGGGUAGCCGGCCUGAGAGGGUGACCGGCCACACUGGGACUGAGACACGGCCCAGACUCCUACGGGAGGCAGCAGUGGGGAAUAUUGCACAAUGGGCGGAAGCCUGAUGCAGCAACGCCGCGUGAGGGAUGACGGCCUUCGGGUUGUAAACCUCUUUUAGCAGGGAAGAAGCGUGAGUGACGGUACCUGCAGAAAAAGCGCCGGCUAACUACGUGCCAGCAGCCGCGGUAAUACGUAGGGCGCAAGCGUUAUCCGGAAUUAUUGGGCGUAAAGAGCUCGUAGGCGGUUUGUCGCGUCUGCUGUGAAAUCCCGAGGCUCAACCUCGGGCCUGCAGUGGGUACGGGCAGACUAGAGUGCGGUAGGGGAGAUUGGAAUUCCUGGUGUAGCGGUGGAAUGCGCAGAUAUCAGGAGGAACACCGAUGGCGAAGGCAGAUCUCUGGGCCGUAACUGACGCUGAGGAGCGAAAGGGUGGGGAGCAAACAGGCUUAGAUACCCUGGUAGUCCACCCCGUAAACGUUGGGAACUAGUUGUGGGGACCAUUCCACGGUUUCCGUGACGCAGCUAACGCAUUAAGUUCCCCGCC